UACGGAGGGUGCAAGCGUUAUCCGGAUUCACUGGGUUUAAAGGGUGCGUAGGUGGGCAGGUAAGUCAGUGGUGAAAUCUCUGGGCUUAACUCAGAAACUGCCAUUGAUACUAUCUGUCUUGAAUACCGUGGAGGUCAGCGGAAUAUGUCAUGUAGCGGUGAAAUGCUUAGAUAUGACAUAGAACACCAAUUGCGAAGGCAGCUGGCUACACGAAUAUUGACACUCAGGCACGAAAGCGUGGGGAUCAAACAGG
rnacentral:rRNA from 1 species